rnacentral:rRNA from 1 species
AAGACCUUGCGCUUUUGGAGCGGCCGAUGCCUGAUUAGCUUGUUGGUAAGGUAAAAGCUUACCAAGGCUUCGAUCAGUAGCUGGUCUGAGAGGACGACCAGCCACACUGGGACUGAGACACGGCCCAGACCCCUACGGGAGGCAGCAGUGGGGAAUUUUGGACAAUGGGAGCAACCCUGAUCCAGCCAUGCCGCGUGAGUGAAGAAGGCCUUCGGGUUGUAAAGCUCUUUCAGCCGGAACGAAACGGUUACGGUUAAUACCCAUGACUACUGACGGUACCGGAAGAAGAAGCACCGGCUAACUACGUGCCAGCAGCCGCGGUAAUACGUAGGGUGCGAGCGUUAAUCGGAAUUACUGGGCGUAAAGCGUGCGCAGGUGGUUUUGUAAGUCAGAUGUGAAAGCCCCGGGCUCAACCUGGGAACU